rnacentral:rRNA from 1 species
UGCCAGCCGCCGCGGUAAUACGGAGGGGGCAACCGUUGUUCGGAAUCACUGGGCUUAAAGAGCACGUAGGCGGGAGAGUAAGUUGAUUGUGAAAGCCCAUGGCUUACCCAUGGAAUUGCAUUCAAAACUGCUUUUCUUGAGUAUGGAAGGGGAGAGUGGAACUCCUAGUGGAGCGGUGAAAUGCGUUGAUAUUAGGAGGAACGCCGGUGGCGAAAGCGACUCUCUGGUCCAUGUCUGACGCUGAGGUGCGAAAGCCAGGGGAGCAAACGGGAUUAGAUA